rnacentral:rRNA from 1 species
GACGAACGCUGGCGGCGUGCUUAACACAUGCAAGUCGAACGGUGAAGCGCCUUCCUUUUUGGUGGGUGUGGAUGAGUGGCGAACGGGUGAGUAACACGUGAGUAACCUGCCCCCUUCUUCUGGAUAACCGCAUGAAAGUGUGGCUAAUACGGGAUAUUCUGGGUCUGUCGCAUGAUGGGUCUGGGAAAGAUAUUGUUUCGGUGGGGGAUGGGCUCGCGGCCUAUCAGCUUGUUGGUGGGGUGAUGGCCUACCAAGGCGGUGACGGGUAGCCGGCCUGAGAGGGUGGACGGUCACACUGGGACUGAGACACGGCCCAGACUCCUACGGGAGGCAGCAGUGGGGAAUAUUGCACAAUGGGCGCAAGCCUGAUGCAGCGACGCCGCGUGAGGGAUGGAGGCCUUCGGGUUGUGAACCUCUUUUGCCAGUGAAGCAGGCCUGCCUCGUUUGUGGGUGGGUUGACGGUAGCUGGAGAAGAAGCGCCGGCUAACUACGUG